rnacentral:SRP_RNA from 1 species
GCUGGGCGUGGUGGCGCACGCCUGUAGUCCCAGCUACUCAGGAGGCUGAGGCAGAAGAAUUGCUUGAACCUGGGAGGUGGAGGUUGCAGUGAGCUGAGAUUGUUCCACUGUUCUCCAGCCUGGGUGACAGAGUGAGACUCUGUCUCAA